CCCCUCUGCCUGAAGAUGGGGCCCCUCUGAGACCUCCAGCCAAGGGCUCUGCAGGGCUCCUCACACUGUAGUGUGUCCAUGAACCACGUGGGGAGUGUGCGGAAAUGCAGCUUCUGAUUCCCUGCGUGGGGCUGGGGCGGGACCUGAGAUUCUGCAUUUCCAACCAGUGCCCAGGUGAUGCGGAUGCUGCCGGUCCAGGAACCACAUCUGAGCAGCAAGGAUUUCGACCAGCGCUGCGCAACUGAAAUACCCUGUGGAAUCCGCCUCUAACACAGACAAAUACAUAGAUCACAGCUUAAUAGAACUGACCAAAGAGCACUAAAUCUCGCCAGGACCAGUACCAGGUCAGGAAAGCCUCACCUGCAGCCGACCCAUUGCUGGAGGCUCCGUGUAGAUAAGUCUGAGAGUUAAACACUCCAAGAAGGCCCACUGGGAGGGGGACUCACACUUUUGUGAGUUUUACCUCUAGGAGUCCUACCAGGUUCUUAUAGGGACUACUGGAGAAUAAUCCCCCUCGUGUCUCCCACAUGGUGAUGGGAAACAAGCCCUGUUCUUCCUAACAGGGCCCCUCAUGAGAAACUAUUUCACCAGGGCCUGACCCACUGGGCUCCAUCAGCGCCUGAAUGUCUUAGGAGAAGAGAAAUUCCCAACCCUAGCCCACUUUUUCCAUUCUGUUCCACCCAAAGGGGUGGCAGAGGAGACUGAGAAGCACCUGGGAAGGUCACAGCUCAGGGGCACAGGCUCCCCAAGAGACUGAGACUUACUGUGGAAUUACAGAAUGACUCCCUUCCCCCCACCAACAUAUGGUCACACCGUUUAAAGGCCCCUUCACUGGUGCUCCUUUUACCCAGGACAUCAUGUCUGGCUUUCAACAAAAAUUACAAGGCACACUAAAAGGCAAAAUCAAAACAAAGUAAAAUCACAGUUUCAAAAGAUAAAUCAAAUAUCAGGUCUGGAUUCAGAUAUGGCAAGAAUGUUGGAAUUAUCACACUGGAAAUUAAGAGCUACUAGGAUAAAUAUGCCAAGGGGUCUAAUGAAGACAGCCAACAGUAUGCAAGAACAGAUGUUCCAUCUUCUUUCAUAAGAAAGAUGGAACUUCUAAAAAAGAAUAAAAAUGAAAUGCUAGAGAUCAGAAACAGAGAAACAGAAAUGAAGAAUGCCUUUGACGGGCUCAUUACUAGACUGGACACAGAUGAGGAAAGAAUCUCUGGGCUUGAGGAUAUGCCAGCAGAAACUUCCAAAACUGAGAAGAAAGAGGAUU